GCGACGUUCUUGUCAUCGCUGGCACCUCGCCUUACCUAGGUGUCAAGCGAUACCAGAGACGGAGUUUGGCUGUUCCAACACCUUAGCAAUCGGCCGCGAUUUAUGCCGCGUGAUUGUUGGCAUGCUUCAAACUUAUUUAUAAGGAAGUUAACACUUUGAAUGGUUGGAGAAAAUUUUAAAAGGUCUUUACAUCGCUGUUAAAUCAGUGGUACUCGAUUUUAUUAUAUCAACUCCAAAAGUAGGAAAGUUGAAGCUGAUAUUGGAGGAAUUUGAAUUGAGAACAUAAAAGCCGCAAGCAUUUCAUUAGAUGCCCUUCACCAGUCCUACUUAAAGUGGUGAUCCGCGAGCCAUCAGCUGCCAGUACGCGUCAUUGGAUUGCGGUUUUGGGAGGGGCACCGACUUGAAGUGUUUAGUCGAACAGAUCGACUACAGUACUUAGGAAACAUAAAAAAAUCCGGUACUUUUUGGUUAUCUCACUCCCAUUAAAAAAUUGGGCAGAUCUUUAACUUUUGACCGACAGAAUGUGUCAUAUAAAAUAUCUUCCACUCUUAGCGUUUUUGAGAAAAGCUUAUAUUUAGGAAGUUAUUUCACGUUAAAGAUGUAGUAUUUUGGUAAUUUCAACCAA